rnacentral:rRNA from 1 species
UACGUAGGGGCCGAGCGUUGUCCGGAUUUAUUGGGCGUAAAGAGCUCGUAGGCGGUUCGGUAAGUCAGCUGUGAAAUCUCCACGCUCAACGUGGAGGGGUCAGCUGAUACUGCCGUGACUUGAGUCUGGUAGGGGAGUGCGGAAUUCCCGGUGUAGCGGUGAAAUGCGCAGAUAUCGGGAGGAACACCAGUGGCGAAGGCGGCACUCUGGGCCAGUACUGACGCUGAGGAGCGAAAGCGUGGGGAGCGAACAGG